UUUUUUUUUUUUUUACUAUCAGCUUGCAAGGAAGCUGAAAAUGUCAAAAUACAAAAGCCUCUCUUACCAAUAUAGACAUUUUGUAUAAUAGAAUGAGAGAAAAUUUUUCCCUCCUACCUCAGCCUCUUCCAUUCUGCCCAGAUUCUAGGCCUCUCUUUGCAGAACUAAAAAGGCCACUAAAUCAAUUCUCUAAACCAAAGAACACUCAUUUCCCCAGAGUGAAUUUGGCCAUUACCCCUCAGAAUAGUUUUAGAAUUCCCUUAGUGUCUUCCCUUUAGUAGAUUUGUGUGGAACUAGGUAAUGUUUGAAAGUUCUUUCUCAACCUAACUGGAGCUCCCAGACUUUGUGGUGGACUUCCUGGCACUGUGGAGGACUUUACUGCAUGUUAGGCACUUCAGGAAGAAUGACACCCUUCUAGAGUCAACAUAUUAUUUGAGGAUUUGAUAACUUCAGAGGCAGUGGGUAAUUAGGACAAAGGAAAAUGGGGAAGGAGAAGCAUAAUUCAUUAAUUAAUUCAUUCAACACAUGUUUAUUGAGUACUUACAAUGGGCUGGGCACUCUUCUAGGCCCUAAGGAAAUGAUAGUUAUCAGAUCAGACAAAAUCCCUGCUUUCAAGGAGCUUAUAUUCUAGUGGAGGAAGACAGACAAUAAAUAGAUAUAUAGCCUGUCAAUGGGGAAUAAGAACCAGGAAAAAAUAAGAGUAAGAGAAUAAAAAGUAAUAAGAGGUAGAGGCUGCUAUGUAUUUUAGGUAUGAUGGAAAUAUCUCUGAUAGGAUGAUACUUUAGUAAAGACCUGAAGGAAAUGAUGGGGUGAGCCACAUGGAUGUCCUCGGGAGAAGAGUAUUCCACACAGAGGAACAGCAAGUGUAGAAGUCCUGAGGCAGGAGUAUGGGGGUGUUGGAAGACCAUUGAGGCCAUGAAGGCCAUAGUGGAAUAGCAAGGGAGAGAGAAUGCUAUGAAUACAGUCAGAGAGGAGCUGGGAACAAGUCCAUAAUGACCUUAACAGCCAAAUAAGGACUUUUUGUUUUAUUCUAGAUGAGUUUACAAGAAGUAACAGGUAUGGAGAGUAGACACAAUGGCAAUCUCAAAGAAUUGGCUUUUCAUGUGCUUGGGUAUUAUGUUUUUUAACAUUAAAUGGAAGAUUUCAUGAAGGCCCCCUGAGCUGGCCUUUGCCAACUCUCAGCUCCUGCAGAGAAAGUGCUUGGUGUAGGUAGAAGAAAAGGUGGUUUUUGUUUUUUGUCUCCUCCCCAGCUCUGCCCAGGAAUCCUAUGGCCCUACUCACUUUCUAUUUCAGGGGAGCAGCCCCUGCUGACUGGUUGCCAUUAGGACCAUCUAGCCCAGAACUGUGGAGGGUGGGGCGGAACUGCUGUCAUAGCCGGGCUGACAUUGUGCUGAACAGUCUGCUCACCCUUAAUGACAGGUUGGCAACCAUCAAAGAUGGAGAAAUAUAAGCACAUUUGAAGGAAAUGUUUCAUAUCUUUACAACGGCAUGAUUUUUCAGUUACAGAGAAGGUGAAGUAAUGAUGUCAUCUAGGGAGGUUGCCUGCCAAACAGGCCCUCAUAGGUGUGUCUGUGAGUGUGUUUGUGUGUGCAUCUGCAUGUUGUAAAUAUUUCAUACGUGUGAUUGUGUGUAUGUGUGUGUGUGUGUGUGUGUGUGUGUGUGUGUGUGUGUGUCUUAGCAGGGCUGUGUGUGUGGCCAGAAGUGUCAUUACAAUUCAGAGCUUGCUUUCCCAUUGAAGAUCUAGGAACUGGAUUUGUCAGAGCUCCCAAGGGUUGUUAGGUUCAGAGGGACUCACCCACAUUAAUCGAGCCCACAAAAGACUUAUUAAGUAAUUUAGAACACCAUUUGCUUAAUUUAUAGUCAGAAAUCAAAUUAUCAAAGGGAGUGAUGACCACAUCCCUGCUGGUCACGGGAUUCUCUCUCUAGGCCCCUGAGGAGAAUUAACAUAUUUUCCCCCCGGGGAAGCCCUAUGACACUCAAAAGAUUGUUUGGUGAUCAAGGCAAAUUAUGUGAAUGAUCUUAAUGACCAGCAUUAUUAAACUGCCAUGACAAGCCAUGGGCCCAAACAUUUGGGUUUACUGCUCUAAGUACUUUCUCUCUGCAUAGCAUUGGGCUUCCCUAAAUCCUGUCCUUCGAGGGCUAUUCAGUCCAGUUGCUUACAUUACCAUUAAGAAAAAAUGUUGCCUUAAGACCAUUUCCCAGGCUAUAGAUUUUUUCUUCAUUUGGUAAAUAAUUGAUUCGAUUUUUAAGCCCUGUUCCUCCUCCUUUUGAUCUGAAGAAUAUCAUGCCUGUUACGAUGACUGUUGCAGAUGAUAGAACAUUAUCUAUUACAUAAAGAUCUUACUAAUUUAACACAAGGAAACCACACUUGCAAAUUCUUCUGUGGCAUCUCACUAUCUCUCUCAUGGGUUGACUGCAUGUGGGAGGAGGACAUUCAUUCAAGGAUUUGUUGUCACUGAUGAGAAAGAGUGGUUGAGAACACACAUCCGGGAAUCAUGGAGAUGGAGCUCUCUCUGUACCUUCAUAGCAAGUUGGGCAAACUGUUCCGCCUCUUACAGAGUCCUCAUAGUAAGACAGGAAUAGUACCAGUUAUUAUGUCAUAAGGUUGCUCAUACACUCAUUUGAAGACUAAUUAAGUACCAAGCACUGCUCUAGGUACCAGGGAGCCAGCAGUGAUCAAACAUUGCUGCCCUCCGGAAAUUUGCAUUCAAAUGAGAGGAAUGACACACAGUACAAGAGAUAAGUAAGUACACUGUUUAGUUUCAGAAAGUGAUCAGUGCUAUACAGAAAAAUAAAGCAGGGAAGGGUUGUUGUGACAUGUAAAUGAAAGAAUGUAUGUAAAGUCCUUAGAAUGCCUGACCUAUAAUGAUAGCAAAAACUUCAGCUGUUACCAAUUGAGCUGUACCGCAGGGACUCUUACAGUGAAAGAACUAAGUGUGGCCCUCAGAAUAGCACAUGGGCCUCACACACAACUUGGCAUGUAGUUAUGCUAUCCAUGACCACUGUGUCUCCAAUGCAAGUUUAAUAUUUUCCUGUUUUUACUCGUUGCAAACACUCAGGAAAAGUAUUUAGAACAAAAGAUAAAUUAUCCUUAAUGUCACCACUCAGAAGCAAUUUAACAUUUGGUAUGCAUCCUCGUAGGCUUUUCUCUUUUUCUUUGGAUGCACACACACACACACACACACACACAUUUUUUUUUUUUAAUUUUUAACAUUUUAUUUAUUUUUGAGACAGAAAGAGAGACAGAAUGCAAGCAGGGAGGGGCAGAGAGAGAGAGGGAGACACAGAAUCUGAAGCAGGCUCCAGGCUCUGAGCUGUCAGCACAGACCCUGACGUGAGGCUCAAAUUCAUGAACCUAGAGGUCAUGACCUGAGCCAAAGUCGGAUGCUUAACGGACUGAGCCACCCAAGUGCCCCCCCCCACACAUUUUUUAAAUGCAACUAAAAUUACUGUUACAUAACCUGCUUUUGUCACUUAAAGCUCUAUCUUCUGACAUCAACAGAUUCACAUUAGUAUUUUAAUGUCCAAUUAUAGUCCACUGGAAAGAGAAAUCUUUUUAUUUUUUUAUUUUUAGAGAGAGAGCAAGUGAGCAGGGAAGGGGCAGAACAAGAGUGAAAGAGAAAGACAGUUCAGCACAGAACCUGACCUGGGGCUCCAUUUCAUGACCAUGAGAUCACGACCUGAGCCAAAAUCAGAAGUUGGACGCUUAACUGACUAUGCCACCCAGGUGCCCCUGGAAAAAUGAAUCUUAAGCUAGUUUGUUAUUGAUAGAUAUUCAUCGACUUCCAAGUUUUUGUUUCUAUAAAAAUGCUUUGGUUUUAAAGGCACAACUUCACUGUUUGGCCUAGAGUUUUCCAUGGAUCUGUCAUGAGAAAGUAUGCAUUAUUUCCAUAUUUACUAUGAACUCUUAUCACCUUUUAAAAACCCAGCUGGGAAGAUUGAAUAAAAACUCCUUCAUGGUACCUAGUUUAAUUUAGAGUCAAUUCAGUGUAAUUACAUUUAACUGUAUUCAGUUUAGAUGUAUUUUUUAACAUCUUCCGUGUCAGGACACCAUGCUGAUUCCUGCUGGGAACCAAGAUGAGUAAGACGUAAUCCCUCCUUUCAAGGAGACCAAGACAGGAACAUAGAUAUUGGUAAUCAGCAUAUAGGCCAGAAGAAUCAUCGGAUCACAGACUAGGGAGAGGACAUAUCUAUCUGUUUGCUGUGACCAAAUAAUAAGAAAUGUUAGCCUUAUGUCACUAGUGUGUUGAAUAAGCAAGCCUCCUGAGACAGAGUCAUAAAUGAUGUACUGUUUUUGUCUCCUUGUGCCCUUUUAAGUUUACUCAGUAGAAGGAAGUUCUAAAUGAAAUUUUAGGCAGAGGAACUUGGGAGGCCUUACUUAGGUGGGCUUUCUUAGAAGAAAUGUGGAAACUAAGACCUGGUGAUUGAGUAAAAGUUGGCCAAAUUGAGGGGUGUGGGCUCUGGGGCAGGAGGAGGGAAGAGAAGAGUGUUCCUGAUGUAGAGUAAAGAUGAGGAGGUGAGAAAUAGCCUGAUGCCUUAGAGGGGUUCAAAGAUCAAUAUAGUUAUGUGGGAGGGAAGGAGAGGUGUACUGUGGAGGGCUUUUAUAGUGAGACAGAUUUUCUCUGAAUACCCCAGGUUUUAGCCUACAUUCAUACAAAGUGGGCAGUAAAUAAAUAUUUUUAAAAAUAAAGUCUGAAAAUCAUAUAAGUUUUUGGUUCCUUAACACAAUUUCCCUUCUCAUAAUUCAGAACCACCAUGCAUCAACUUCCCACUUCUCCUCACUGGAAAAUUGGAAGACUAUCUCCAAAUGGUUUUUGGACCUUAAGGCAGAGGGAGAAAAGUUUGCAUCCUUCAAGCAGAAGCUCCCAUGGAGUUUGUUGGUAAAGCAAGUUGUCUCAGGAAGUAAUGACUGAAGAUACAAUGCCUAGAAGUGUCACAGGCAACUUGCAACCUUGAGGAUAAAAUUCACAUGCUGAGCAUGAAGGAGCAUAAUGACAGAAGCUUGGAUUCUUUCUCAACGCCAUUGAAUGAAGAGAAAGCUGACAGUUGGAUGAAGAAAGGCCUUGUGGAGGAAGUGUCAUUAGAGCUGACCUUCAGGAGCAAGUUCAGUGUUACUGCAGGCAAUCCUGGGGAAGUUAUUACAGAAAGUGCAGAGGAGAUCACUGGAUCAGAGGUGAAAAGAACAUGCGAGCGACCCUGAGGAAGCCAGCAACUAAGCUGCCCCAGAAGUCAGGAGUCUUUCAGUCUUUUCCGUGCUUAGAGCCUCAUCAACCAAGACAGGUGUGUGGGGGGGGGGGGGGGGAUGACGGGGGAGGUUCCUCUCAAUCCCCUGGCUUUAGUCUUGCUCAGCAUUCUGGGGUGUGCUGGCUCAGGUCGAAGAAGCAGCACAUACUAACUUCCUUCCAGCUGCCUUAGUCAGCUGAGCCAAUUGCAUUGAGUGCUUGACAUCAAGGCUUCUCAAACAGAAUCCUGUUGGAAGUAAGAAACACAGACAGAGCUCUCCCCUCUUGUGUCUCGGCCUCUGAUAGGACAUUUUCAUAGAUGGUGCUCAUCUCCCAGUUGUAGUACUGGUGGUUGGGAUAGUGAUUACCUGUCUAGGUUGUGGCCUGGCUGGACUGAGGUCCCAUCUACUAACUUGCCCCAGGGAGGAGCCAAGGCUCAGUCAGAUAAAGCCUCUUCUCAUUACACGGAACACACCCACCCCAUCGGCCCAGUUCUACUGCUUUUGAUGUCAGGGAUGCAGACUUGGGCUGAUUAGUCCAUUCAAAGUAGAUUGAAAAAAAAGUCCCUAUUUAUUUAGUCAGGAUUGUGUUUCAACAACAAAACCCUGAAAAGCUCAGAGGCUUCAAAGUUUAUUUCUUAUUUUUGCUAUAUGUCCAUUAUGGGUUGGAUGUGGCUCUAUCCCAUCUUACCUUUACUCUGGGACCCAUGCUGAUGGAGCAGGGGGCCCUAACUGAAACAUUGCUAUUUAUCUCCUGGCAGGGAGGAGCUCAGUGAACCAUCCAUUAGCCCUUAAAACUUCUGCUGGGAAGUGAUCCAAGGCUCUUCUGCCCAGUUCCAUUGGCCAAAGUCAAUCAUAUGGCUAAGUUUUCUCUAAGGGGUAAGGAAGGGAUAAUCCACCCCCCCGCCCACCCCCCGGGAGCAGCAUGGAAUAUUUGUGAAAAAUGCUACAAUAUUCCACACUUGGUCACCAAGGGAGGUAUUCCUCAAUUUCAUCAUAAAUUUACCUUAACUGACAGGUACUGGUGUGGUUUUUAUUUACCAUCUUUUAAAACGGUGGGAAAACCUGAGUGGUAAGUACCAAUCUCCAGGUGAUUGGUGAAGGUCAUUCAUUUUGGGUGAAGAGCUGAGAAAUAACAGAUUCAAAGCGUAGUGUGUGUUGUAGGUUGGAGGCAUAGAGUAGGAGGCAAGAUGGGGGGAGAGAGAGGAGCUUGAGUGUGGUGGGCCUUAGGCACCAAGGGUUUAGAAUCAUUCUUUAGGCAGUGAAGUUUCAUUGAAGACUUCAGAGUGUUGGGGUGCACACUCUUCCUGCCAAGAGCCCCGAAGACAUUUAUAAAGGAUGAAAUGAAGGCUGGGUACUAGUUAGAAACCAUCACUAGGAGAAUAAUGGUGAAUUUGACUUCAGUUCCAGACAGAUUUAAGUUCAAGAUCUGCCUUUGAAAUAUCAUAGCCACAUGAUUCCAGGGAAGUUCCUCUACCUCUCUAAACCUUGGUUUGUUCCAUGUAAGACAGAGAUGAUAAUAGUAUUGCCUUCCAUGGUUUGCUGUGGGAACUAAGUAAAGUAACGUAUGUGAAGUGGUUAGCAAAACCCAAUACACCUAGAAAGCCCUUACAUGUGGGAAAGCAGAGACAAUGAAGAUUUAGAAUCAAUAGGAUCUGGUGAUUUUACGUGAAGAGUAAAGACAUGGGAGGAUUUGAAGAGAGUACCAACGUUCCCGGACUGGUGAAUGGUAAUGCCACUUACCUAUUCAGAAGCUGGUAACAGCUGGGGGAGGAAAAAUCCUGAGUCUGGGAUCCCAGGGAGACAUCCGUGGAGAAGGUUUCCAGCAGGUGCUUAGAAAUGUGAGCAAGGCUUAGUAGAUAGAACUUGUACAAUGAGUCAUUGGCUGAUUGUGUGGACAGAUGGUUUCUGGGGUCUCUUGUGGAAAAUACUUAAUUUUAUUUUAAUACUUACACAGCACUAAGAGCUGAGGAAAGAGACACUUCUCCAGGCUAAAGAUUCUGGACGUCAGUCAUUCUCACACUUGAAUAUAUCAGAAUUACCUGGAGGGCUUCUUUAUGCCCAGAAUUUCUGAUUCCGUAGGUCAAGAGGCUGGAAACUGGGUUUCCUCACCUCCUCCAAAUGCUCUGCUCUUAUGUUGUCUCUGUCUUAACUUACUCUUAGAGUAGACCUGGAAAAUGCUGACCCCACAAACAGGAGUGAUUACAUUCACACCAUCGAUCCUCAUGUCUAGAAUAAGAUUUAGGGAAAUGGCCUUUUGAGAAUACACAGCAGAUUGCUGGGAGAUCAGCAGCAAUUCAAUAUGACAGGUGUGGCAGAUUUUUUGAUUUGUAACAUCCCUAUGUUAUGAUUCAUAGAAUAAGUCUUUAGCCUAUGGACCUUAUUCAAGAGAUAUCAUCUGUCCUGAUGAACUAAACAAUCCAGAAAACCACAAUAAAUGCCUGUUGUGUGCAGAUCUUUGUCUCACUCAAUAGUCUGCCUUUAGCAGCAGCCGCUGUCACAGAGGGGAUCUUCCUUUAGGCAUUAGCAGGGGUGAGGGGUUGGGAUGGAAGAAGUGACAAUCCUAAACUCCCCUCAGUAAUAAAGACUGCACGGAUUUACAUCCCUGAAGAAUUUAUAGUUUUUGCCUGGAUGUAAAGCAUUCUCUUAGUUUACUAACAACUAUGUAAAAUACAGUAAUCCUUUCUUUUGUCCAAAGGACCAUCUAGUAGAAGCUUCUAAAGUUUCCCAUUACUUUUUUUUUUUGCAGUAUAAUUGACCUAAAAUAAACUGCACAUACUCAAAACGUACAGUGUGAUGAGUUUUGACAUAUAUUCACAUUCAUAAAACCAUCACCACACUUAAUAUAGUGAACAUAUCCAUUACCCUAAAAGUUUCCUUGUGCCCCUUUGUAAUCUAGAGACUACAAAGUCUUAGAGUGUGCUCUACUCCCUACAUGACCCUAUUCCUCAGCAAUCACUAAUCUGCCUUCUAUCACUAUAGGUUCGUUUACAUUUUCUAGAAUGUUGUAUAAAUAGAAUUAUAUCAUAUAUACUGUUUUUUUGUCAGGGGAGGGGUCUAGCUUCUUUCACUUAGCUGAAGUUUUUUGAGAUUCUUCAUGUUGUUGUAUGUAUCAAUGGCUCAUUCCUGUUUCUUUUUUUUUUUAAUUUUUUUAAUGUUUAUUCAUUUUUGAGAGAGAGACAGAGAGUAUGAGUGGGUGAGGGGCAGAGAGAGAGAGAGAGAGAGAGAGAGAGGCAGACAGAGAACUUGAAGCAGGCUCCAGGCUCUGAGAUGUCAGCACAGAGCCCAAUGCGGACCUCAAACCCAUGAACCACAAGAUCAUGACCUGAGCCAAAGUCGGACCCUCAACUGAUUGAGCCACCCAGGUAUCCCAGUUCAUUCCUGUUUCUUAUUGAGUAGUAUUUCACUGUAUAGAUAUACUCCACUUGUUUACUUAUCUGUUAAUGGGAAUUUACGUUGUUUCUACUUUGGGGCUAUUACAAGCACUGCUGCUAUGAAUAUUCACGUGAAAACUCAUGUACAUGCAGAUGCUUUCAUUUCCCUUGGGCAAAUACCUAGUAGUGAAAUGUCUUGAUCAUGUGAUGUACGUGUAAAGUUUUAAAGGAAUUGACAAAAUUUCUGAAGUGUUGGAACUAUUUAAGAUUCCUUAAGGAAUCUUAAUGGUGAAUGCAAGUCCCAAUUUUUCUGCUUUCCAGCCCAUAUUUAGUUUUGCCAGUCUUUUUCAUUUUAGCCAUUUUAAUAGAUAUGUAGAGGUAUCUUAUUGUGGUUUUAAUUUGCAUUUCCUUGAUGGUUAAUGAUGUUGAUUAUUUUUUUCAAGUGCUAUUUGCUAUUUGUGUGUAUAUAUAAAAACAUAUACAAUGUAUACAAAAUAUAUGUACGCAAUUUUUUGAUGAGGUAUUUAUUUUUAAAUUGAUUUGUUUGACUUUUCAUCAUUGAGUUGUAACAGGUUUUAAAAAUAU